rnacentral:rRNA from 1 species
UGGCGGCGCGUUUAAGCAUGCAAGUCGAGCGCGGGAAGCGGACAAUCACCCUUCGGGGUGUGCGUCCGUGGAACGAGCGGCGGAUGGUGAGUAUCACGUGGGCAACCUGCCUGUAAGAUUGGGAUAACUCGCGGAAACGUGAGCUAAUACCGAAUGAAGUCUUUCACCGCCUGGUGAAAGGAUGAAAGAUGGCUCUUGAGCUAUCACUUACAGAUGGGCCCGCGGCGCAUUAGCUAGUUGGUGGGGUAAAGGCCUACCAAGGCGACGAUGCGUAGCCGACCUGAGAGGGUGAUCGGCCACACUGGGACUGAGACACGGCCCAGACUCCUACGGGAGGCAGCAGUAGGGAAUCUUCCGCAAUGGACGAAAGUCUGACAGAGCAACGCCGCGUGAGCGAAUGAAGGUCUUCGGAUCGUAAAACUCUGUUGUCAGGGAAGAACAAGUUGUGUUCUAACAGGACAUGACCUUGACGGUACCUGACCAGAAAGCCCCGGCUAACUACGUGCCAGCAGCAGC